rnacentral:pre_miRNA from 1 species
CACGUACUCCCUCCGUCCCAAAAUUCUUGUCUUAGAUUUGUUUAGAUAUGAAUGUAUCUAGUCAAGUUUUAGUAUUUAGAUACAUUCAUUUUUAGACAAAGUUAAGACAAGAAUUUUAGAACGGAGGGAGUAUGUG